UGACGAUAGAUUAAAUGUGAGAUCAGUCCAUACUUUAGUUUAUGAUAACAAUAUGAUUUAUGUAUUUGAUGAUAAAGGUACUGAUUCUCAACUUGAUGCAUUUUAUUGACACGAAAUUUCAGCAUUUGAUUUAGAAAAGCGUUGCUGGAAAAUAGUAAACACUUUUGGUGAUGUAAAUCACAUACCGCAGUAUCCAGCUCGAAGAAAAGAGUUUGGGUUAACGAGUUACACUGACCCGAAUUCGGGUGAAAUAAAUGUGAUAGUAUCUGGAUGAAGUGUUGAUUAUAAUAAUGUCUUCAAUGGCACCUUGAAGGGUGUCUGGAGAUUGAAUCUCACAAGUUUAAAAUGGACGUGUCUUGAUGAAUUUGGUAGUGUCUUACCUUGCCAAGUUGAUAGUCAUUCAAUGACCGUUUCUCCUACUGGAAAAUUAUUCACAUUAGGUGGAUAGAUUUACAUUAAUAAUCCGGGCGGUUUAACUAGUACUUCUACUUUACACUCAAGUUGGCUCAGGAUUCCCAAACUCGAAGACAUUUGUUGGGAAGCUGUUUUACAUUACUAUCCAAACUUAAAAUCAAUGACUGACAAAGAAAUAAAGUCUCUUGGUAUCCCGCCACACUUCUUCGAGUCGCGUAUUAAUUAAUAAUGUAUCUAUAAAUAAAUUCAUUGUAUGAUUUUUUUUUAUUAUAACACACUAGCAUUUAAAAUUAUAAUCUUCAUAAAUUCAUUUGAAACCUAAUUUAUCAUUUCUUAA